rnacentral:rRNA from 1 species
GACGAACGCUGGCGGCGUGCUUAACACAUGCAAGUCGAACGAUGAACCCGGAGCUUGCUCCGGUGGAUUAGUGGCGAACGGGUGAGUAACACGUGAGUAACCUGCCUUUGACUCUGGGAUAACUGCGGGAAACUGUAGCUAAUACCGGAUACGACCCUCGGCGGCAUAGCCAGGGGGUGGCAAGAAUUACGGUAAAGGAUGGAACCGCGGCCUAUCAGCUAGUUAGUGAGGUAACGGCUCACCGAUGCGACGACGGGAAGCCGGCCUGAGAGGGUACCCGCCCACACCGGGACUGAGACACGGCCCAGACUCCUACGGGAGGCGGCAGUGGGGAAUAUUGCACAAUGGGCGCAAGCCUGAUGCAGCAACGCCGCGUGAGGGAUGACGGCCUUCGGGUUGUAAACCUCUUUUAGUAGGGAAGAAGCCAAAGUGACGGUACCUGCAGAAAAAGCACCGGCUAACUACGUGCCAGCAGCCGCGGUAAGAC